AUGCUCGAGCCCCGAAGAAGGGUUCUGGUGGCGAUGUCGACGGUCGUCGAGACGUUCGUGGACUGGACGGUGUCGUGGCUACCAAUGUACGGAGAGGCGAAGCUGCUGCUCGUCAUCUACCUCUGGCACCCCAGCACACGGCGUGCGGGGCACGUGUACGAUGGCUUCCUCCAUCUGCUGGUGGCGUGGCACGAGGCCGACAUCGACCGGGGCCUGCUUGAGCUGAGGGCUGGGGCGAGGGAUGUGACGACGUCACAACUCAAGGCGGCGGCUGCCAUCGGUCAAGUGUGGUUAGUCGAGGCUCCCCGUUGUGUUUCGUCGCAGUUACAGGCCGCGAGAUCAAGCCGGAAAGGCGCCACACAUUGA
rnacentral:rRNA from 1 species